AGGGAGCCCCGAGGAGCAACGAGCAGGCAGCACAGGGUGGGACCGGCCAACCGGAUACUCAUAUUGGAUCGUUUUUACAUUUCUUUGUUUAGAGGUUUAAACGUUAACACCGGAGUGCACGAGACGCACAAAGUGGCAGUGUGGUCAGGGUGAACUUGCGGGUUUAACGUAUCGUCGAAACCUCUGGAACUGUCAGAAAAAAUGAUUGAGAGUUAAGGUGUGGCUGUGGGUUUUCUGAAAGGCUUCAGCACUGAAAAAUGUUAGAAAACGGACUGUGAGAAUGUCCACAGUGUUGUGUGUCUAGUCAGGGAUGAGACUCUUAUCUAGCCUACCAAUGGCUUUAUAGAUUCUGUUCAGUCAUUUUCAUCUAGGAAAAUAUUACAUAACAAAUGUAUUGCCAUCUUGAUGUGCGCACCUUUUGGCUCAAGUCCCUCGCAGUAGCCUAGAUUAAUUGGACUAUAUCAAGCAGUUAUGAAGUAAGUCGGGUAUUUUUGUUACUGCUUGGCAGGUCGUUUUGGUUUCAUUAGUCUGUGAAAUGUAACGGACGUGGCAACUUUACAGAAGCCAGCCCUGCUGAAUGCCACAGGCAAACUGGGCGUGGGGGAAACGGUCCGAACAGAGCCUAUAGCCUAAUCUUCAAAUAUCAUCCAAGCACGGUACAAAUUGCGCAUAUUUGACAUAGUAGCCUAGGCUAUAACCGUACUGACAAGUGCCUCGGUGGAGCCUGUGGAUUUACCUUAACCAAAGUAAGUGCGACUGUCAAAUACAUUUGCAAACUUUUUAGCGGAGGUGACAUUUAAAGGCCACAGGACAGGGCGUGCUACGGCGUUAUUUUAACAUCUUAACAUAAUAACAUGUUUUAUGAUUAUUUUGUUAAUAAGCAUUGUCAGUCUAAACAGAAUGAUUUAGCACUAAAGGCGGUGUGUCGGUCGGCCUAUAGAAUCACUGUUUUCUGUAUUUGUCUAUACGAUACAGCGCGGGGAUAUUACUAUAAUGGGAUGGGGCGGGUGUGUCUUUACCGAGGCAAACGUUGGGACGUGGAAUUAAUCUAAAUCCAGCAGUGAAAGAGUUGGGUCUAUAUUACAGUUGUCUGCUGACUUGUCAAAGAAUAUGGAGGAGUCAUUCCUCACUCUUGCGAUGCGUUUACCACAAUAACUCAAUCAUAAUUGAGUGCACAGGCAGACUGACCCUGUAUAGUCUAAUUAAGAUAAGCUUUAAAUCGAGAGGAAAGCAGAGCGUGAAUUCCUCAAGGCCCCACCCUUUGUAGAGCAACAUGGAUGUGGAGAGUUGCCCCCAUCUCCUCCUCCUCCUCCUCCUCCUCCUCCUCCUCUCUCUGUCUCUCCCUCCGCGUCAUUCAUUUCCCUUUUAAAGCUUGUCUUAUGCUGUUUUCCCCCCUCAGUGUCUCCAGGUGCCUACAGUCUUCUUGACUUUUAACCAACUUUAGAUCAUGGCAUCAGGAUCUACUUCCAGGAGUCUACAGAGGUGUAAAUUGGUGGAGACUGUAGUUGUGAGGGAUUCAUAAGAGGUUCCCAGCACUGACAAGCUCAUCUGGUUCAAUUGCAAACGGCCAGCGGUGAGGAGCAUUGGGCCUCUCGGCAGACCGGCUGGAAUGUGGACCAUAUGUAGCAGGCAUCCCAGGAAUGUAACUCUGCCUCGCUGAACUGACCAACCUAAAGACACAGAGAGAGCUGAGCAGGAUAAGGAGGAGAGAAAGGGAUAAAAUGAAGCGAGAGCAAGGACGAUGAUAUUUUUUCGGUUUAGCUACGGUGGCAAAUUAUGGGAAAUAAUGGUUUCUUUCAUGUAUGUUAACCGUAGGAAAGCUUUUUUGCACACCUCUUUUGUCGGGCGUAGGUGCGUAGGAUAUCAUCAAAAAGUAGCAGAUCAAAAAGUUUAGAGAAGUUGUAUAUUAACCCAUCAUCAUCAUCAUCAUCAUAUUAAAGGAUUAAAUAGAUCACAGAGGGGGGAAAUGCGAGAUGAAAGCUCUGAAGGCAGACGAAGAGAGCUUAAUGAAGUGCAUGAGAGAUGAGUGUAGGAAAGAUUGAAGGGUGGAGAAGUGAUAGAAAGGGGCAAUGGACAGGCUAAAAGGAGAGAAAGUAAUAAAGACAGGUAGAUGCAUAUGCCAAAAACUCUUGUACAAAUAUUUUUUGUGGUUGAAGUUUACUUGACCAAAUCCUCUUUAUCAGUAUACUGCAGACAGAAAGAUUUGUGGUGAGUAUAAGACGGCUUCAUGGAGUUACCAGUAUACUAGUCUCGCUUUGCCAGACCAUCCACACGCUGCAAAGCGGAGGAGGGUCUGGUUACUCCACAUAGCAUUCCGGGAUGGGAGAAAAAGUGCUCUGGUUUAUUGGCAUUUCUUUAAACCAAUCACACCACUCCACGCGGAGCUGCUCUAAAAUAGUUGUGCGAGAGAAAACUCAGAUUGGACAGAUAGUCUAGCUAGCUGUCUCAAUUUACCAUGCAGAUAUCUAAGGAGCAGUUAACCAUAGUCCUCAUAAAUCCACCGGAGUUUAAAAUUUAAUUUAAAAGUGAAAGGAAACGGAUGAAAACGGCAAAAAUACAUGCAUUCUGCGGAUUUUCCUGCGGCACCGGAACAAUCCCGGAGGUGGAACGUCAAAGUUAAAGACUAUCGGUAUACAAACUACACAUGUGUACCACCAGUGUUGCCUUAUACUUGUGAUGAUGUAUUUCCGUAUGCGUUACACUGAUGAAAAAUUAGCUUCAGUUGAUUGACAGAAAAUGAAUGUGCAACAAUUUUGAAUAUCGAUCAAGUUAUUUAAUUACGCAAAAAAGUCAAAUAAAUGCUGGGUUUGGCUUCUCAAAUGAAGGGAAUGUUCUGCCUCUCUGUUUUUAUAUAUUUUUUUUAUUUAAUGUAUUUGCAUUUUAGACUGUUAUUCGGACAACAAAUGACUAUGUAAGAACUUGUGAUAGGCAUUUCUUUGUUCAGCAUUUCAUAGACUUAAAGAUUUAAUCAAAUUUAAUCAAUAAACAGCUGAUGCAAUUAUUAA